rnacentral:rRNA from 1 species
UUUAUUUUUUGUAUUAAUUUAUAAAUUUUAUUAAUAUAUAUAUAUAUAUAUAUAUUAGUUUAAUUAAUUAAUUAUUUUAUUUUAAUUUAUAAAAGUUUUAUUAAUAAUUGUAAUAAUAAGAAAAAAUAAUUUAAUAUCAUAAGUUUAAAUUUAUUAUAUAAAGUUUAAUUUUAGUUUAAAAAUUUAUUUAAUUUUUUAUUUACAUGUAAAUUUUAGUGAGAAUUUAAUAUAAAUUUUAAUAAUUAUAUUUAAAGGGUUUAUUCGCAGUAUAAAAUAUUAAUAAUUUAAGAAAUUAAGAAUUAUGAAUAAAUUUAUAUAUUAACAAAAUUUGUGCCAGCAGUUGCGGUUAUACAAAAAAUAUAAAUAAAUUUUAUUGGUUAAUAAUUAAAUGAAUUUAAUUUAAUUAAAAUAAAAUUUAUAAAGUGAAAUUUAAAAUUUUAAAUAAUUAUAAUUAAAAAUAUUGAUAUUAUGAAAUUUUAAUAUUAAACUAGGAUUAGAUACCCUAUUAUUUAAAAUGUAAAUUUUUACCAAAGUAGUAUUAGUUAUGAUCUUGAAAUUUAAAAAUUUUGGCGGUAUUUUAGUCUAUUCAGAGGAACCUGUUCUAUAAUUGAUAGUCCACGAUAAACUUUACUUUAUUUAUUAAUUUAUAUAUCGUCGUUAUUAAAUAUUUUAUAAGAAUUAUAAUAUUUAAUAUUUUUAAUUAGAAAAUAUAUCAGAUCAAGGUGUAGUUUAUAAUAAAGAAGAAAUGGGUUACAAUAAAUUUAUUUUUGGAUUUAUA